rnacentral:rRNA from 1 species
UACGUAGGCAGCAAGCGUUGUUCGGAGUUACUGGGCGUAAAGGGUGCGUAGGUGGCUCUAUAAGUAUGGUGUGAAAUCUCCCGGCUUAACUGGGAGGGUGCGCCGUAGACUGUGGGGCUAGAGUGUGGGAGAGGAAAGUGGAAUUCCUGGUGUAGCGGUGAAAUGCGUAGAUAUCAGGAGGAACACCGGUGGUGUAAACGGCUUUCUGGACCGAUAACU